rnacentral:rRNA from 1 species
GACGAACGCUGGCGGCGUGCUUAACACAUGCAAGUCGAACGGAAAGGCCCUGCUUUUGUGGGGUGCUCGAGUGGCGAACGGGUGAGUAACACGUGAGUAACCUGCCCUUGACUUUGGGAUAACUUCAGGAAACUGGGGCUAAUACCGGAUAGGAGCUCCUGCUGCAUGGUGGGGGUUGGAAAGUUUCGGCGGUUGGGGAUGGACUCGCGGCUUAUCAGCUUGUUGGUGGGGUAGUGGCUUACCAAGGCUUUGACGGGUAGCCGGCCUGAGAGGGUGACCGGCCACAUUGGGACUGAGAUACGGCCCAGACUCCUACGGUAGGCAGCAGUGGGGAAUAUUGCACAAUGGGCGGAAGCCUGAUGCAGCAACGCCGCGUGCGGGAUGACGGCCUUCGGGUUGUAAACCGCUUUCGCCUGUGACGAAGCGUGAGUGACGGUAAUGGGUAAAGAAGCACCGGCUAACUACGUG